GUCUUCUAUUUCUCUAAGGGGUGGCAAGCCAUCAACCUCUUCAAAGUCCUUCAAUGCCAUCAAACUGUCAAUCAUUUCAUCCGUAAUUCCAGAAGCAGCAAUAAGAUCACCAAAAGCACGGUUGGGUCCUUUUCAAACGACAGUCAACUGUUUCUCUUCCUUCUCAAGUUUCUUAGGAUCCUCAAUUCUCUGACUAUCAGUUGUCUCACUCUCCACAAUACUACUCUCAGG